rnacentral:rRNA from 1 species
UACGUAGGUGGCGAGCGUUGUCUGGAUUUACUGGGUGUAAAGGGCGCGUAGGCGGGAUGGCAAGUCAGAUGUGAAAUGCACGGGCUCAACCCGUGAACUGCAUUUGAAACUGUCGUUCUUGAGUAUCGGAGAGGCGAGCGGAAUUCCUAGUGUAGCGGUGAAAUGCGUAGAUAUUAGAAGGAACACCAGUGGCGAAGGCGGCUUGCUGGACGACAACUGACGCUGAGGCGCGAAAGCGUGGGGAGCAAAC